rnacentral:rRNA from 1 species
UGUGCCUACGGGGCGCAGCAGUGGGGAAUAUUGCACAAUGGGGGGAACCCUGAUGCAGCGACGCCGCGUGAGUGAAGAAGUCAUUCGUGAUGUAAAGCUCUAUCAGCAGGGAAGAAAAUGACGGUACCUGACUAAGAAGCCCCGGCUAACUACGUGCCAGCAGCCGCGGUAAUACGUAGGGGGCAAGCGUUAUCCGGAUUUACUGGGUGUAAAGGGCGUGCAGCCGGGCUGACAAGUCAGAUGUGAAAUCCCGCGGCUCAACCGCGGAACUGCAUUUGAAACUGUCAGUCUU